rnacentral:rRNA from 1 species
CCUACGGGAGGCAGCAGUGGGGAAUAUUGCACAAUGGGGGAAACCCUGAUGCAGCGACGCCGCGUGAGUGAAGGAGUAUUUCGGUAUGUAAAGCUCUAGCAGCAGGGAAGAAAUAAAGUCCUUCGGACUUUGGACGGUACCUGACGAAUAAGCCCCUGCUAACUACGUGCCAGCAGCCGCGGUAAUACGUAGGGGGCAAGCGUGAUCCGGAUUUACUGGGUGUAAAGGGAGCGUAGACGGCAGCGCAAGUCUGGAGUGAAAUCCCAUGGCUUAACCAUGGAACUGCUUUGGAAACGGUGCAGCUAGAGUGAAGGAGAGGGAAGCGGAAUUCCUAGUGUGGCGGUGAAAUGCGUAGAUAUUAGGAGGAACACCAGUGGCGAAGGCGGCUUACUGGACUGUAACUGACGUUGAGGCACGAAGGCGUGGGGAGCAAACAGGAUUAGAUACCCUAGUAGUC